rnacentral:rRNA from 1 species
AUUGAACGCUGGCGGCAGGCCUAACACAUGCAAGUCGAACGAGUGGCGGACGGGUGAGUAAUGUAUCGGAAUGUGCCCAGUAGAGGGGGAUAACUACUCGAAACUGUAGCUAAUACCGCAUACUAUCGGAUGCGCCCAUAUGGGAUUCGCUAGUUGGUGGGGUAAAGGCUCACCAAGGCUACGAUCCCUAGCUGGUCUGAGAGGAUGACCAGCCACACUGGAACUGAUACACGGUCCAGACUCCUACGGGAGGCAGCAGUGGGGAAUAUUGCACAAUGGGCGAAAGCCUGAUGCAGCCAUGCCGCGUGUAUGAAGAAGGCCUUCGGGUUGUAAAGUACUUUCAGCGGGGAGGCGUUACCCGCAGAAGAAGCACCGGCUAACUCCGUGCCAGCAGCCGCGGUAAUAC